rnacentral:tRNA from 1 species
GCCGCCGUAGCUCAAUUGGAUAGAGCAUUCGGUUUCGACCCGAAAGGCUGGGGGUUCAAGUCCCUUCGGCGGUGCCA